CCUACGGGCGGCAGCAGUGAGGAAUAUUGGUCAAUGGACGAGAGUCUGAACCAGCCAAGUAGCGUGAAGGAUGACUGCCCUAUGGGUUGUAAACUUCUUUUAUAAAGGAAUAAAACGAGGCACGUGUGCCUUUUUGCAUGUACUUUAUGAAUAAGGAUCGGCUAACUCCGUGCCAGCAGCCGCGGUAAUACGGAGGAUCCGAGCGUUAUCCGGAUUUAUUGGGUUUAAAGGGAGCGUAGAUGGGUUGUUAAGUCAGUUGUGAAAGUUUGCGGCUCAACCGUAAAAUUGCAGUUGAUACUGGAAGUCUUGAGUACAGUUGAGGUAGGCGGAAUUCGUGGUGAAGCGGUGAAAUGCUUAGAUAUCACGAAGAACCCCGAUUGCGAAGGCAGCUUGCUAAACUGUGACUGACAUUGAUGCUCGAAAGUGUGGGUAUCAAACAGGAUUAGAUACCCCUGUAGUC
rnacentral:rRNA from 1 species